rnacentral:rRNA from 1 species
UGGAUAACUGUGGGAAAUUCUAGAGCUAAUACAUGCACCAAAGCUCCGAUUUCUGACGAGCGCAUCUAUUAGAUUAAAACCAAUCGGGUCUCGGUCCGUCAGUUGGUGACUCUGAAUAGCUAUAGCUGAUCGCAUGGUCUUGUACCGGCGACGUAUCAAUCAAGUGUCUGCCUUAUCAACUUUCGAUGGUAGUUUAUGUGCCUACCAUGGUUGUAACGGGUAACGGAGAAUAAGGGUUCGACUCCGGAGAGGGAGCCUGAGAAACGGCUACGACAUCCAAGGAAGGCAGCAGGCGCGCAAAUGACCCACUCUCGGCAUGAGGAGGUAGUGACGAAAAAUAACGAGACCGUUCUCUAUGAGGCCGGUUAUCGGAAUGGGUACAAUCUAAACCCGUUAACGAGGAUCUAUGAGAGGGCAAGUCUGGUGCCAGCAGCCGCGGUAAUUCCAGCUCUCAAAGUGUAUAUCGUCAUUGCUGCGGUUAAAAAGCUCGUAGUUGGAUCUGCGCUUCCGGAUUCGGUCCGCCCACUGGGUGAGAACUGGACUCCGGGGCUAGUUCUGCUGGUUUUCCCUGCGUUGCCUUCACCGGUCGCGCAGGGUGGCUAGCGAGUUUACUUUGAAAAAAUUAGAGUGCUUCACGCGGGCUAUUGUCUGAAUACUCGUGCAUGGAAUAAUAGAAUAGGAUCUCGGUUCUAUUUUGUUGGUUUUCUGAACUGAGAUAAUGGUUAAGAGGGACGGACGGGGGCAUUCGUAUCGCUGCGUGAGAGGUGAAAUUCUUGGACCGUAGCGAGACGUCCGACUGCGAAAGCAUUUGCCAAGAAUUCUCAUUAAUC